ensembl:lncRNA
CAUAGGAAGAUUUGCUAGUCAGAUCUCUCAGAUGAUGGUGCCCUGACCCUUCAGUACCCUGUGACCUGACCUGAUGGAUACGCCACUAGGCUUUAGUAUUGAUUAGAUAUCGGCAUUUAUGCAAAUGCUUGUCUCCCUCCCUACUUCCCCGUCUUAAAAUGGAUCCGGGUUCUCUUAUCGACUGUAUUAUUAUUAGAAUCUGAUGUUUCCUUUUAAUUAUUUUGCUGAAGCCCAAUCUACAUUCAGCAUGGAUACCAUUGUACAUAGUUGGUGCAUACAGUGUUGUGUUCUGACUCAAAAUAAUAGACCCUCACCACUCUACAGGACAUAGCAGAUCCCUGCCCGAUGCACCACGCCACAGGUAAAACGUACGUUCAACAGUGACAUUUACUCUCAGAGUUGUAUAUUGCGGUCUGUUUAUCAUUGUAGGUUUUUUUAAGAACAGGUAGGAUCUCAACUUCACUGUUUACACUCAAUGAUGUAUGGGAUCCGACCAGAUCCUCUGACGUCAAAGUGUCACAGAGAGAGAACGUAGUUUAUAACAAAUGUAUUUUUGUUUGUGGAAGAAGGGAAACGGGGGGGAGCACCACUGGGAUGUCCUGCAGACGGGGCCUCUGUUCCUCGCUGGCCACUCCUAUACAUGCAGUACAAAGGGAUUUGAUGUCUAACUGACACUCUUCAGAUGAGAUUAAGAUUAAAAUCAGAUUACAAUCGCUCUUUUAAAGAGAAUGACCAUAUACUCUACUACACUGUGCUCAGCAGGUUGUUCUCAGCAGUAAUGUCUUAUAUUCUACUUGAAAUCACUCUUUAAAGAAAAAGACAUUAACAAAUUAUUAAGAAUUUGAAAGCAUAUCGUUCAUGAAACUGGAACGAUUGAUAAGCAAGGUCAAUAGCUAAAGUCUGCAAGGAGACUUUCCGCAGUCCAGUGUUGCCUCUGAAAGGCGAAUAACUGAAAGGUAUUUACAAUCGCACAACAGUAAUGAAAUGAGAGGCCAUUUUGAGAACAGCCACAGCCAAUCAUGGGCUUUUUAUUAAAGUAAUUAAACGUGAGAUGUCAAAACUAAAGACCUAUUGGUUAGCCAAGUGAAAGCAUACAAUGCAGAAUAUAUUGACUAGAUUCAAAUAAUUUAUAGAUUAUCUUUUUGGUUGACGGUUAUAAUUUGGGCAGCUUGAAUAACUUAUAAAAAUAUAACUCUAUAGCUAUGUAUGUGUUUCAUAUCCAGAAGUGGAUCAAAACUGAAGGAUUCAAAUUAAAUGAACGCUUAAGGAAUUCAAAUUGUUUUAUUAGAAUCACAAAUUAUUUAAGAGAAUGAUGAAAAUUUCGCUUUAUAUAAUAUUCAGAUUACCCAACGAUA